CGCCUAACACAUGCAAGUCGAACGAAGCUAAGAUUGCGGAAGUUUCGGAUGGAAGUGAACUUAGCUUAGUGGCGAACGGGUGAGGUAACACGUGAGUAACCUGCCCUUCGAUGGGGGACAACAGUUGGAAACGACUGCUAAUACCGCAUAAGACCACAGUGCCACAUGGCACAGUGAUCAAAGGAUUAAUUUUCGCUGAAGGAUGGGACUCGCGUCUGAUUAGCUAGAUGGUGAGGUAACGGCCCACCAUGGGCAACGAUCAGUAGCCGGACUGAGAGGUUGAUCGGCCACAUUGGGACUGAGACACGGCCCAGACUCCUACGGGAGGCAGCAGUGGGGGAUAUUGCACAAUGGAGGAAACUCUGAAUGCAGCGACGCCGCGUGAGGGAAGAAGGUUUUCGGAUUGUAAACCUCUGUCUUCGGGGACGAAACAAAUGACGGUACUCGAGGAGGAAGCCACGGCUAACUACGUGCCAGCAGCAGC
rnacentral:rRNA from 1 species